rnacentral:rRNA from 1 species
AUUGAACGCUGGCGGCAGGCCUAACACAUGCAAGUCGAACGAGUGGCGGACGGGUGAGUAAUGUCUGGGAAACUGCCCGAUGGAGGGGGAUAACUACUGGAAACGGUAGCUAAUACCGCAUACCAUCGGAUGUGCCCAGAUGGGAUUCGCUAGUAGGUGGGGUAACGGCUCACCUAGGCGACGAUCCCUAGCUGGUCUGAGAGGAGGACCAGCCACACGGGGACUUAGACACGGUCCGGAGGCCGUGGGGAGGCGUAAGUGGGGAAUUUUGGACAAUGGGCGGAAGCCUGAUGCAGCCAUGCCGCGUGUAUGAAGAAGGCCUUCGGGUUGUAAAGUACUUUCAGCGAGGAGUCGUUACUCGCAGAAGAAGCACCGGCUAACUCCGUGGCAGCCGCCGCGGUAAUUC